rnacentral:rRNA from 1 species
UACAGAGGUGCCAAGCGUUGUUCGGAUUUACUGGGCGUAAAGGGUGCGUAGGCGGCCAUACAAGUCGGAUGUGAAAGCCCGGAGCUUAACUCCGGAACGGCAUCCGAAACUGUAUGGCUGGAGAUCUGGAGAGGUGAUUGGAAUUCUCGGUGUAGCAGUGAAAUGCGUAGAUAUCGAGAGGAACACCAGAGGCGAAAGCGGGUCACUAGACAGAUUCUGACGCUGAGGCACGAAAGCCAGGGGAG